rnacentral:rRNA from 1 species
UACGAAGGGAGCUAGCGUUGUUCGGAAUCACUGGGCGUAAAGCGCACGUAGGCGGAUGUGUCAGUCAGGGGUGAAAUCCCGGAGCUCAACUUCGGAACUGCCUUUGAUACUGGAAGGCUUGAGUCCGGGAGAGGUGAGUGGAACUGCGAGUGUAGAGGUGAAAUUCGUAGAUAUGCGGAGGAACACCGAUGGCGAAGGCAAUCCCCUGGACCUAUACUGACGCUCAUGCACGAAAGCGUGGGGAGCAAACAGG